rnacentral:rRNA from 1 species
GCGGCGUGCCUAAUACAUGCAAGUCGAGCGAAGUUUUUCUGGUGCUUGCACUAGAAAAACUUAGCGGCGAACGGGUGAGUAACACGUAAAGAACCUGCCUCAUAGACUGGGACAACUAUUGGAAACGAUAGCUAAUACCGGAUAACAGUAUUUCUCGCAUGAGAGAUAUUUAAAAGUUGGUUAUGCUAACACUAUGAGAUGGCUUUGCGGUGCAUUAGCUAGUUGGUGGGGUAAAGGCCUACCAAGGCGACGAUGCAUAGCCGACCUGAGAGGGUGAUCGGCCACACUGGGACUGAGACACGGCCCAGACUCCUACGGGAGGCAGCAGUAGGGAAUCUUCCGCAAUGGGCGAAAGCCUGACGGAGCAACGCCGCGUGAGUGAAGAAGGAUUUCGGUUCGUAAAGCUCUGUUGUUAGGGAAGAAUGGAUAUGUAGUAACUAUACAUAUAAGAGAC